UGCAAAACGUGAGCCCAACAGGAAGCUGCCUGCAAAUUCAGGUAGCUUUUCUGCGUCUAAAAGAGGUCUUGAAGAUACGUUCAGAGAAAUGCCAGCACAAGUUGUAGUCAUUUGGGGAAGAAUGAGUCUGGAAAACAAAUACACAGUGGACUAGCACCAAGAGGUUAAUGGCUGUGACUGGCAUGUGAGAAGAGUGAGGAGAAAUGACUUCAGUGGCCCCACAGGAGUUCGGAGCAGAGAACGGGGCAUCAUCUGGUCUGGCACUGUUCUUGGGCACCAAGUCCCUCGUCUACCACCACAAGAAGCCUCGACUACCCAGAGAUAAGGAAAGUAACUCAAGGAUGUUGGAAAAAGUACAAUAUGGACUAUGGCUUUGGGACUGGCAACUUCUGGACUCCCCAUUCCACUGCUGGUAAUGGCUCUUGACACCACAUAUGCUUUCCAGGAGUUUUUGAAGCUGAGCCCAAGAGG
ensembl:lncRNA